GGAGCACGCAUCUACAGUUGUUUCAAGCUAACAUUAUAAUUAUGCCCUAACUUGAUAACGAUACAUCAAAGAACACAAAAUUCACAACACCGGCUGUGGUCCUUUACUAUGGAGUUGAGAACGGUUGUGUGGUGUGUCUGCGGGCUUAGUCGUGACCCAGUGUUCAAUACACACACAUGCACUCGCCUUUCAUUGUACCUUUAUAAUUACAAUAGAUUCAACCAAGUGAUGUAAUGGGACAGUGGAGUCAACCUGUAGACCAGGGGUGGGGAACGUCCGGCCCGUGGGCCAUACAAGGCCCGCGAAAUCAUUUGAUCUGGCCCUGCCAAGGCAACCGCAAGCGGGAUUCGAAAUUCAAUAAAUCUAGGAGCAAACCUGGAAAAGCAGUUGCGAAUAGCAACAUCAUCAAUACCAGCUAACAUCACACGCGCCUCGCCAAAGAGCAGCAGUUCCAGCCAUCACAUUAGGGGUGAGUUAAUUAAAUGUUUGACCAAAUAUAACAUGCUAAUUUUGAAGUUGAUAAUUUUGUAUGUCCCACGAAUGAUGUUAUAAAUAUCCAAAUGGCCCUUGGCAGAAAAAAAGGUUCCCCGCCCCUGCUGGAGAGCGAGUGGUCUAGGGCCAGCGAGAAGGUUCGAGAAUAUGGGCGUGACCACGGGAUAGGGGCGUUGCCACGCACCGUUUAUAAAGGAAAUGCGCGGGAGACUCGUGGCAGUUGCGAUGGGGUCUUCGCCGGCUGGAGUGUGAGCACGUGGCUCAUUAAUAAAGAAUUCCUUCCCAGGACGAGUGCGUCGAAGUCGUCUACCCACGUGACUUUACCGAAAGAACCAAAAGAGUAUGGAUUCCUGCAGUCACAAAAGCUUCAAAUCAUGAUUGAGGUUCAGCCACAGCCGGUCUAUCGCAAGGUUUCAUCUGGUGGGGUGCAUCACCAAGCGACCUGGCUAUCACAAAUGAUAGCUCAACGAAGUGGCGUAUCACGUGGAAAUGUAUAGUGGGGAGAGACACGCAAACUCCAAAUAUACAGCAGGCGUCAGGGUCGGGAUCGAACCCACGGGAUCCUGUAUACCAGGCGAGAAUGUGAAGAACCAGUGGCAUCUACAUCUGCAGAAGGUGAAGAACCAGUGGCAUCUACAUCUGCAGAACAUGAAGAACCAGUGGCAUCUACAACUGCAGAACAUGAAGAACCAGUGGCAUCUACACCU